CAACUGGAAGUAUACUGUUAUUACAGGGUAUAAAAUUGUCGCCAUUCCUCGUUGCCUGCAUAUCUCUCACCGGAGUCACCGCAUUCAUUUCCAGAAUGAAUUCCUACAAGGCGUUGCGAUCGGCCAUUUGCGCCGCUCUGAUACUUCACACAAUCAUUGUGUGCUUCGGUGACUCGGAACUGCAAUGUCUUGAAGAAAGGUGCGGCGACUUCAACAAUUUCACAUGUUCUGUAAGAGGUUGCAAUUGUGUCUACACGGAUAACGCAUCUAACGGCGAGUGCAUGGAUUUGUCCGAUUACGAAGACUAUGCUUCGAAUUUAACUCUUCAGGCAGCAUAGAUGCCAAACACAACUAAAGAUGUGGAAUUUGCCACGCCGCAGCAUCUUGAUUGAAAUAAAGCUGUGAUUGGGAUGCAGUGAAGACACUAAUCUCCACACGCCUACAGGGCAUGGAUAUGAUUUGCGGAAAUAGCUUUGCCGCCAAUGUUACCGUAAACCUCGGUAGGCAUUCAAACAUGGCAGGAUGGCUCCGUUCUUUGAUUACCUACUUCAUCUAAAAAACAUUUUGUAGGUGUACUGGAGGGUACCAUCUGUAAAUCAAUAUUUUCAGAACAAAACUGUUCAG